UACGGAGGGUGCAAGCGUUAAUCGGAAUUACUGGGCGUAAAGCGCGCGUAGGCGGUUUGGCAAGUAGACUGUGAAAUCCUCGGGCUCAACCUGGGAAUUGCAGCCUAAACUGCUUGACUAGAAAUCAGUAGAGGGAGGUAGAAUUUCCUGUGUAGCGGUGAAAUGCGUAGAUAUAGGAAGGAAUACCGAUGGCGAAGGCAGCCUCCUGGACCAACACUGACGCUGAGGUGCGAAAGCGUGGGGAGCAAACAGG
rnacentral:rRNA from 1 species